AACGAACGCUGGCGGCAUGCCUAACACAUGCAAGUCGAACGAGACCUCCGGGUCUAGUGGCGCACGGGUGCGUAACGCGUGGGAACCUGCCCUUAGGUUCGGAAUAACUCCCCGAAAGGGGUGCUAAUACCGGAUAAUGUCUUCGGACCAAAGAUUUAUCGCCUUUGGAUGGGCCCGCGUUGGAUUAGCUAGUUGGUAGGGUAAAAGCCUACCAAGGCGACGAUCCAUAGCUGGUCUGAGAGGAUGAUCAGCCACACUGGGACUGAGACACGGCCCAGACUCCUACGGGAGGCAGCAGUGGGGAAUAUUGGACAAUGGGCGAAAGCCUGAUCCAGCAAUGCCGCGUGAGUGAUGAAGGCCUUAGGGUUGUAAAGCUCUUUUACCCGGGAUGAUAAUGACAGUACCGGGAGAAUAAGCACCGGCUAACUCCGUG
rnacentral:rRNA from 1 species